UACGAAGGGGGGCUAGCGUUGCUCGGAAUCACUGGGCGUAAAGGGCGCGUAGGCGGCCUUCUAAGUCAGACGUGAAAUCCCCCGGCUUAACCUGGGAACUGCGUCUGAUACUGGGAGGCUAGAGUAUGGGGAGAGGGAUGUAGAAUUCCAGGUGUAGCGGUGAAAUUCGUAGAUAUGGGGAGGAACACCGGUGGCGAAGGCGGCCAUCUGGACGGUAACUGACGCUGAGACGCGAAAGCGUGGGGGAGCAAACAGG
rnacentral:rRNA from 1 species